ensembl:lncRNA
GUGCAGUGGACAUGUCAGGCUUGCCAUCGGCCAAGAGAAGAAGGCCUUCCUGGCCCCCGAGUGCCUGUGGUUGGCGGGACCACCAGAAGAAGUGUGCCCCCACUAUGGGCACCUUGCCGACAGGAGUGACCAGACGGUGCAUUGGACAGGCCACGCUCGCCGUCGGUCGAGAGAAGGCCUCCCUGGCCCCCAAGUGCCUGUGAUUGGUGGGACCGCUGGAAAAGGUGUGCCCUGCUAUGGGAAUCUUACCGACAGGAGCACCCAGACGGUGCAGUGGACACACCAGGCUCGCCAUUGGCGGAGAGAAGAAGGCCUCCCUGGUCUCCGAGUACCUGUGGUUGGCGGGACUGCUGGAAGAGGUGUUGCCUGAGACGGGCACCUUGCUGACUGGAGCGUCCGGACGGUAAGCCUUCCCUGGGUGUCAGCUAGUGCCCCUGGCUUUAGGCUUUCGCAAGCCUGUCCAAAAGGCCACUAAGGAAGGUUGCUGGAAGGACAUGUGGGGUUUUGAACCCAGAGGGGCCUGUCCUUUAAUGGCUCUGCAUGUCCUGGGCCACAGGAAGACCCUGAGUCCUUCAGCUUGUCCCGCUGAGCCAUCUGGCCCACCAGGGUCGGCUGUGCAGGUGGCCCCGAAUGUGCUCGGAUCGAUGAUGACUCCCUCAACAGCAUUCCUUGGAAAGCUGAACAAAAUGAGUGAGAACUCCCUACCGUCUUUCUCGUCGAAACUGAGGUCCAGCACAUUGUCUACCCCAGGGAAGGUAAGGGUCAGGGACAGCAGGCUUCCCCUUGGUCACACUCCUUCAAGCACCAGCACCCACAGCCUCUGCCUAGGAGAGCCUCACGGGGGACUCAUGGUCAGGGAAGCAUUUACCACCUGAGCAGGGUUUCCAAGGCAUGCAGGUCCUGAGGGGAAUGGUCGGCGACUGGGGUCGAGGGGGGCAGCCGGUCCCCCAAGGCCUAGGGCUUCAACGGCGUGUCUUGUGGCACCGGCCCUUGGGAGUCGAGGGCUGGGACCUGUGUAGGCCAGGAUGGCCCCACAGGCAUAAGCUCGUGGCAGUGUGUGUUGAGAGGCCAAGCAUGGCAAGCUUGCCUGGCCUGUGGGUGGGGGUGCAGAGGCCCAGCCCGAGGCAGCAGCGAUCCCUGGACGAGCCCUUUCUCUCACUGACGUACGUGGAGCGGCCCCUGGCUCGGGCUUCUGGGCCAAGGCAAGAGGCCGGGCUGCGGCACCGGCCAGGUUGGAAACAUCGGCCCUGCCCGGCGUGGCGAGCGGAGCCCCUGGGUAGCUUGGUCACGCCCGCGGGCGAUUGCUCCCCCUUUCUCAGGUGCAGUGGCCACGCCAGGCUCGCGGUCGGCCGAGAGAAGAAGGCCUCCCUGGCCCCCGAGUGCCUGUGGUUUGCGGUACGGCCGGAAGAAGUGUGGCCCGGAACGGGCACCUUGCUGACGGGAGCGUCCGGACGGUGCAGUGGCCACGCCAGGCUCGCGGUCGGCCGAGAGAAGAAGGCCUCCCCGGCCCCCGAGUGCCUGUGGUUUGCGGUACGGCCGGAAGAAGCGUGGCCCGGAACGGGCACCUUGCUGACGGGAGCGUCCGGACGGUGCAGUGGCCACGCCAGGCUCGCGGUCGGCCGAGAGAAGAAGGCCUCCCCGGCCCCCGAGUGCCUGUGGUUUGCGGUACGGCCGGAAGAAGCGUGGCCCGGAACGGGCACCUUGCUGACGGGAGCGUCCGGACGCAUUCCUUGGAAAAGCUGA